GUUGGCAACUCUACCCUACUCGAGCACAGAAGGACGACACUGCCCGGCCCUCUGGUGAGACCAUGUGACUAGUCCUGGCCAAUGGGCUGUGAGAGUGAGGAAGUCACUCCUGGGCCAAGGGUCUCAGAACUACAAGGGGAUCUAUAAGCCUGCCAGGUCACUCUUUCUGCUUUGAACAUAGUGGUUACAGGACUGCGUUUAAUGAACACAUAGAAGAAAGAAGA